rnacentral:rRNA from 1 species
UACAGAGGGGGCAAGCGUUGUUCGGAAUUACUGGGCGUAAAGCGUGCGCAGGCGGUGAUGUAAGACAGUUGUGAAAUCCCCGGGCUCAACCUGGGAACUGCAUCUGUGACUGCAUUGCUGGAGUACGGCAGAGGGGGAUGGAAUUCCGCGUGUAGCAGUGAAAUGCGUAGAUAUGCGGAGGAACACCGAUGGCGAAGGCAAUCCCCUGGGCCUGUACUGACGCUCAUGCACGAAAGCGUGGGGAGCAAACAGG